CAGUCGCCGCGGGAAUACGAAGGGGGCUAGCGUUGCUCGGAAUGACUGGGCGUAAAGGGCGCGUAGGCGGCGGCCAAAGUCAGGCGUGAAAUUCCCGGGCUCAACCUGGGGGCUGCGUUUGAUACUUGGUUGCUUGAGUGGGGAAGAGGGUCGUGGAAUUCCCAGUGUAGAGGUGAAAUUCGUAGAUAUUGGGAAGAACACCGGUGGCGAAGGCGGCGACCUGGUCCUUCACUGACGCUGAGGCGCGAAAGCGUGGGGAGCAAACAGGAUUAGAUACCCCCGUAGUCCCUGUCUCUUAUAC
rnacentral:rRNA from 1 species